GAUGAACGCUGGCGGCGUGCCUAAUACAUGCAAGUCGAGCGAACAGACGAGGAGCUUGCUCCUCUGACGUUAGCGGCGGACGGGUGAGUAACACGUGGAUAACCUACCUAUAAGACUGGGAUAACUUCGGGAAACCGGAGCUAAUACCGGAUAAUAUAUUGAACCGCAUGGUUCAAUAGUGAAAGACGGUUUUGCUGUCACUUAUAGAUGGAUCCGCGCCGCAUUAGCUAGUUGGUAAGGUAACGGCUUACCAAGGCAACGAUGCGUAGCCGACCUGGGAGGGUGAUCGGCCACACUGGAACUGCGACACGGUCCAGACUCCUACGGGAGGCAGCAGUAGGGAAUCUUCCGCAAUGGGCGAAAGCUUGACGGAGCAACGCCGCGUGAGUGAUGAAGGUCUUCGGAUCGUAAAACUCUGUUAUUAGGGAAGAACAAAUGUGUAAGUAACUAUGCACGUCUUGACGGUACCUAAUCAGAAAGCCACGGCUAACUACGUG
rnacentral:rRNA from 1 species